rnacentral:rRNA from 1 species
UUGGAGGGCAAGUCUGGUGCCAGCAGCCGCGGUAAUUCCAGCUCCAAUAGCGUAUAUUAAAGUUGUUGCAGUUAAAAAGCUCGUAGUUGAAUUUCGGGAUUAGUACGCUGGUCGUGCCUUCGGUACGUACUGGUGUUACUGAUUUCUACCUUCUGACGAACCAUCAUGUCAUUAGUUUGGUGUGGUGGGGAAUCAGGACUGUUACUUUGAAAAAAUUAGAGUGUUUAAAGCAGGCCCGCGCUUGAAUACAUUAGCAUGGAAUAAUGAAAUAGGACGUUGAUCCUAUUUUGUUGGUUUCUAGGAUUGACGUAAUGAUUAAUAGGGAUAGUUGGGGGCAUUAGUAUUCAAUUGUCAGAGGUGAAAUUCUUGGAUUUAUUGAAGACUAACUACUGCGAAAGCAUUUGCCAAGGAUGUUUUCAUUAAUCAAGAACGAAAGUUAGGGGAUCGAAGACGAUCAGAUACCGUCGUAGUCUUAACCAUAAACUAUGCCGACUAGGGAUCGGAUGAUGUUAUUUUUAAUGACUCAUUCGGCGCCUUACGGGAAAC